GGCCUUGUAGUCUAGAGGUACGAUACUUGCUUUGGGCAGUUCGUUCGAAUCUGAGGAAACUGCAAGUGGCCUGGGUUCGAUUCCCAGCAAGGCCC